UUACGGCCAUAUCACAUUGAAUCACCGGUUCUCAUGAAAUCACUGAACUUAAGCAACGUUGAGCCUGCUCAUUACGUAGAUGGGUAACCGCUCGGCAAUACUAGGUGCUGUCA